CUCCUGGUUAAUUGUAGCUCUUCUCUAAAAACACUUUUACCUCAGCUUUUAUCUAAACAUGGGAAGUGCCGUGUGCCUUUAGAAAAGAGAAAAUCUAUGGCUGAAGUUACGUGUCUGAACUGGGUUAUCUGAUAAAUGUAUUAAUGAGCAGAAAUUAGGAAAAACCCUGCAUCUGAGGCUCAGCAUGGUACAAGACCACCUGGCUAAGGAGGGAUGCUGACAGCAGCCAAAAAUGAUUUGGCACAGCUCAGGAGAAGUACCCAGAUGACAGCCUCCUCAACCAGUGAGCUGAGGCCAGCUUGGUCUGCACCACCUGCCAGUGGACUCAACAGCACCAGGACAUUGAGCCCCUUCUUGUCUUGGGAUUCAUCUGGACUGGAAAGGAGUAUUACGCAGUGAUUAAAAACUGGGAUCAUGGCUCUCACUGAGACAAAAGGAGACAUCAAGUUGUACACCCAAAACAUUGUAGUGGGCAUACAGGUGGCUCACUGAAUGCACCUUCAACCAGCAAACCUCUGUUGUAGCUCCAUACUGACAAGGAAGCACUGACCUGACAGAAAUGUGUCUUUCCAUCCUGGAUGAAGAGCACGGUU